AUUCUGUCCGAAGAGUUGCAAUUCAGAGAAUAAAGCCUGUCAUUACUUCUGCCAAUCUGCAUCUGAGUCCUCUUUUUCUGCUCAAGCCUGACAGUAUAUUCUGGCCAGUUAUGGACACAGGAUUUCAAGCGGCUCUCACCAAGGCCUUCGAUCCCGUGAGCUCCUGCUGAGAAAAAGCCCAGGAAUUAAGCACCUUGAAACAAGGUAAAAACUCUGUUUCUGACUACGCCAUUCACUUCCGCACUCUGGCUGCUGAGAGCAGAUGGAACAACACUGCCUUGUACGACAUUUUUCUAAAAGGCUUGGCACCCACAAUUCAAGAUCUCCUCAGCCCCCUGGAUUUACCAACUGGUCUGGAUGCACUCAUCGCACUUGCCAUUCGCACAACAAUCAACGGCUUCAACUCCAACGACAGUGUGAACCGAAGCAGAGAGUCUCAGGAGGAGUUACCACCGCACCUGAGUUAAGAUGGCCGACGCCGCAUCAAUCACCACCUGAAACUCCUUCUCACCUGCAAACAGCGCCAGAUGAUGAGGCCAUGCAGCUGGGCAGGGCUCAGUUGACGCUGGAGGAAUGUCAGAGAAGGCAACAGGAGGGAAGGUGUUUCUAUUGUGGCAGCGUUGGUCAUCUUGUCAGCUCCUGUCUGACCAAGAAACUUCAAUCGACUCAGAAUUUCCGGACCUGACCACAGUUCCACCCUGUUAUCAUCAUCUGAAGGAAGUAUUUAACAAAACUAAAGCUCUGUCUCUUCCUCCACAUCGCCCUUAUGACUGUGCCAUUGACUUAAUUCCAGGAUCCUCUACUCCAUUUCAGGUCCUGAGAAAAAGGCUAUGAAUGACUACAUCUCCGCCUCACUGGAAGCAGGAUUGAUCCACCCCUCGUCUUCACCAGCUGAAGCAGGAUUCUUCUUCGUGGGGAAAAAGGAUGGAUCUCUACGCCCCUGCAUUGACUACAGUCCUCUGAACGACAUCACCAUCAAAAACCGGUACCAUUUUGCUGGUCUCCAGAAGCCGAGAAGGCAUUCUAGAACCUCAAGCAUUGCUUCGCAACGGCCCCCAUCCUCACUCUGCCAGAUCGACAGCACCAAUUUGUGGUGGAGGUGGAUGCGUCCAACGAAGGAGUAGGAGCAGUGUUAUCUCAGUGGUCGGUGAAGGACGGCAAGAUGCACCCUUGUGCCUUCCUGUCGAGACGGUUGUCCAGGGCUGAACGGAACUAUGACGUUGGCAACCGGGAACUACUGGCGGCCAGGAUCCCGAAACAUCAAACCAGAUGUCUUGUCAUGCCUAUUCGAUCCCGAGCCUAAGACCAAGCAAACCGGAACUAUCCUUCCUCUGAACCGUGUGGUUGGAGCGGUGACUUGGCCUAUAGAAAACAAGGUAAAGCAAGCUAACAGUGGAGCCCCAUCACCUCACGGUUGUCUUAACAACUGUCUAUUUGUUCCCGCUGAGCUACGUCCACAGGUGAUUCAUUGGGCUCACACUUCGCUGCUUUCAUGCCAUCUGGAAGUCAAAAGAACCAUGUUCAUCAUAUCCCGGAGGUUCUGGUGACCAGCAAUGGAACUGGAGGUCCGGAAGUACUUGUUCAGCUUGUUCGGUCUGUGCACGGAAUAAGACAGCCUCCAAGGCACACACAGGGCUUCUACAACCACUCCCCAUCCCCUCCAGACCGUGGUCCGACAUCUCCAUCAACUUCGUCACAGGGCUCCCAGUCUCACAAGGAAACACCACGGUUGUCACCAUGGUCGAUCGAUUCUCCAAGAUGGUAAAGUUCAUCGCUCUACCUAAACUACCUUCCGCCGAAGAAACAGCAGACGUUGUGAUGAACAUUGUGUUUUGAGUCCAUGGAUUUUCCAGAGACAUUGUUUCUGACCAGGGGCCUCAGUUUGUUUCCUGGUUCUGGAGGGAGUUUUGCAGACUCAUCGAAGCUGAAGCCAGCCUGACGUCAGGUUAUCAUUCAGAAACGGCCAGACCGAACCCUUCGAUCAGCAACUGGAAACCGGCCUCCGGUGCGUGGUGCACUAGAACCCCUCGACAACACCUGGUCUGGGUAGAGUAUGCACACAAUUCUUACAUCAAUACCUACAUCUGCUACCAGCCUUUCUCCUUUUCAUUGUGCCCUAGGUUAUCAACCUCCUCUGUUUCCAGACAGUGAAAGGGAAGUGUCGGUUCCCUUAGCCCACGCCAUGGUUUGACGUUGCCGCCUCAUCAGGGUAGCCACUCGACAGAUAUUGAUCCGACAAGGUGAUCGGGUAAAGAAGACUGGAUCAUUGGUCGUGCAGCUGUCCGACUUCGUCUGCCCCGGUCCCUUCGAAUCCAUCUGACGUUCACGUAAGUCAGGUUAAACCAGUUAAGGAGAGCACGAUGGUUCCUUACUCAUAGUCUUGAACCAAGAUAAGUAUUGUCACCCUUUAUUUUCUGUUUUGUAUACCUCUGAAGAAGAGUGAUUUUGAGUUGUAAUUUUCUGGUUAGACCUUUUCUUUUCAGAUAAGAUUUUGAUAGCAUUUGUGUUUUCCUCUUUUUGGAGUGUUUUCUGUUCAUUUUCAUAGAUUUGCUAGAGUAGAUAAUUUUGAUAGCCAGUGAGCCUUUUCCUCUUUUGAGUGAUUUUGAUUUAUUAAAUUUUUCAUAGCCCAAGUACUGAGUUCAAAGUAGUUUUCGUCUUUCCUCCUACGGGAGCGUUUUUUGUUCAUUCUGUGUUCUUGUUGUUUGUCUUGUCCUCUGGAUCCAGAGAUUUUCAUAGCCCAUUCAUUUAUCAUUUUGUCUGAAGAGAUACAAAAUCUGAAAAUAAAACCUGUCAUUACUGUU